AUGAAUCAAGUGCCCUCACACAACACAAGAGAGUAGUUCCACACAAUAAAAAUUAAGAACACUUAAGGACUCAAGAUAGAAAGAAUUCACCCACUCUUAGAAAUAACAUUCAUAUGUCACAAAAGAUGCACCAUAAGUUUGCACAUAGUGUACUACUCCACUAAUCGAGCCCAUUCAAUCUUGGAUCAAUUAGAACUUUAUUUGGUUGUAAUGUAGGCUACGGGACGGGUGUGAUACAUUUAGACAUAAGAGUGAUUACACCUUCCUUAGCACUUUAAUACACACAUUUUAACAUUUAUACCCCAUACUUAUAUCAAACAAAAACUUCACCUUCACAUCAAUGUAAAUUACCCCGUUCUUCUUUAAGUACACUUACGUCAAGAGGCACCACUUAUCAAGGAACUUUUUUUCACAACAAUCCAACUAUUUUUUUUUUCAAUUCAAGUGGCUCUUCUUUUUCAAAACGGUGCACCUUUCUCCUUAUUCUACUCAAAAGCCAAACGAACCACCCCACACUUUAACUUUUACAAAGUUUAUAACAAUUCAAGUGCUCAUGAGAGAUGAAAAGGUUCAAAUAGAUGGUUAAUUAAACAAAUGUGUUAGGCUUGUAAUAUGGUUGCUAAAGAAAAUGAAUUAUAGGCUCAAAGAGGUUAACUAUAAUAUAUAACAAUUAAGUGGGUAAAAUAUACAUAUCAAGCUGAACAAGAAAACGCCUAUAUCACUUCCAAGACUGAGCAACACUACGAUUUCGCUUUGGAAACAGACAUGGCAAGUUCUAGGCAUCAAAUGCAAUACACUGAAUAAUGCAAAACCUUACACGCACAUGGCACAUAACUCACUCAGGAUUGGAUUCAUAGACACUCUAGUCAAAGCAGUUAAGCAAAGUUAAGAUAAUAUAAUUUAAGGUACUUCCACAAGAGUCAAAAACUGAGCAUAAGCAUCACAACCAAAGUACUCACUAUUCUCAAGGCAUAACCACGUCAAGAGAUAUUUCUUCAUAUCAAAACACAACACAAUGGCUCCUACUCCAAAAAAAACUAACUACACCUAGUUCAAACAAAAUCCUCGGAAAAGAACCGUGGUUUGAAGAAAAACCAAGGGGUAAUUGCUAAACUACCUAACAAAAUACAACAAAAUGUUUUUUCUUCUUUAGACUUAAAUUCCUCAAGAAAAUUAUCUAAUA
rnacentral:lncRNA from 1 species